rnacentral:rRNA from 1 species
CCUACGGGUGGCAGCAGUGAGGAAUAUUGGUCAAUGGUCGGAAGACUGAACCAGCCAAGCCGCGUGAGGGAAGACGGCACUGUGUAUUGUAAACCUCUUUUGUCAGGGAACAAAGGCGGGGACGUGUCUCCGGAUGAGUGUACCCUAAGAAAAAGCAUCGGCUAACUCCGUGCCAGCAGCCGCGGUAAUACGGAGGAUGCGAGCGUUAUCCGGAUUUAUGGGGUUUAAAGGGUGCGCAGGCGGACUGUUAAGUUAGCGGUAAAAGUCCGGGGCUCAACCCCGGCCCGCCGUUGAAACUGGCGUUCUCGAGUGGGAGAGAGGUAUGCGGAAUGCGCGGUGUAGCGGUGAAAUGCAUAGAGAUCACGCAGAACUCCGAUUGCGAAGGCAGCAUACCG